CCCCCUCCUUCCGCCGUCAAGCAGAACGUACUUGCUCUCCGGCUUCUCAAGAUGGCGGACUCGGCUCAGUUCACUGAGAACGGUGGUGCCGGGGCGGGUCCCGAUGGCUUCGAUGCGGCCUUCUAUAGUUUCGGAGGCCCGGCGGAGAACGAGACAUUCGGCGAGUCGAAAACCAAUGGGGCCAAGGGCGUCAGCGGCGAACAGGGCCACGAGGCCUCCGGGCGCGUGGGAGAUGGGGGCCAUGACCAGUCGCAACAGCAGCAGCAGCAACCUCCGCCACCGCCCAAGGAGAUGGAAGGGUCGAAGAUCAACGCCAGCAAGAACGAGGAUGACGAGGGGAAGAUGUUUAUUGGUGGACUCAGCUGGGAAACAAGCAAGAAAGAUUUAAGGGACUACUUUUCUAAAUUUGGAGAAAUUGUAGACUGCGUAAUCAAAAUGGAUCCUGUGACUGGGCGUUCGCGAGGAUUUGGGUUUAUCCUCUUCAAAGAUCCUGAAAGUGUAGAAAAGGUAUUAGAUAAAGAACACAAACUUGAUGGAAGAGUUAUUGAUCCCAAGAGAGCACAAGCUAUGAAAGGCAAGGAGCAGAUCAAGAAAAUCUUUGUGGGUGGGUUGGAUCCUGACUGUCCAGAAGAAAAAGUGAGAGAAUACUUUGGAACUUUUGGAGAGAUUGAAUCCAUUGAACUUCCCAUGGACACAAAGACCAACAAAAGGAGAGGAUUCUGCUUUAUUACAUUCAAAGAGGACAACCCAGUGAAGACAAUUAUGGAGAAAAAGUUUCAUGAUGUUGGAACAAGCAAGGUUGAAAUCAAAUUGGCCCAGCCAAAGGAAGUCUACCAGCAACAACAGUGGGGAGGCAGAGGUGGAUUCACUGGAAGAGGACGAGGUAGUGGAGGACAAAGUCAGACCUGGGGCCAAAGCUACAACAGUAACUAUUGGAACCCAAGUUAUGGAAAUUAUAACUAUGGCUAUAACCAGAAUUAUGGUGGAUAUAGUGGCUAUGACUACCCAGCAUACAACUAUGGCUAUUAUGGUUAUGGACAGGGAUAUGGUGAUUAUAACAGUCAACCAGGCACCUAUGGUAAAGCUCCGAGGAGAGGAGGAAGUGGCCAAACUCAGUAUAGGCCUUAUUAGAUGACUUGGCUGUUCCGAAGCUCUCCAGGAACAAGUGGGAACUUCAUUGCAGGCCAUGUCACCAUGACCACACGAUUCGUACAAGCCUGCACAUUGUGGACAGAAUUCGAGAUGCCCUGUGGCAGCGACAACUCUUAUAACAAGAGGGAAUAGACAUCUUUUGAAAUCCUUUAAGAGAAGAAAUCGGUCACAGAUUUUUUUUGCAUUAUGGGCAGUGUUGAAUUUGGACACAUUACUUUUCCUUUGUAAUUUUUCUUUUUUAAUGCAAGUAAUACUUGACUGUGACUUUUUUUUGUAAAGGGGACAAAAGUUGUGUAAAGUUUUUAAACUAAUAUAAUGUAUCACCAUUUAGUCUUACUGCUGGUGAGCACGUCGUGGAUCAGUGUGGCAGAUGUAAGGGGAAAAUGUGUUUUUUUUUGUUGUAUGAGCUCUGUGAAAUAUUUCCAUUUGUAACUCCUCCUGCGUGAUUAAAUAAAAACGUUUGUACAUGUUCUUAGCAUCUCAAUGU